GUUGGCAAUGGUGGGGUUAAUUUUAAUGAUGGAGGGUGAUGGAGCUUGUUUUUGAAAACAAGAAAUAGGUGAUGAAGGUUCAUUGGAUGUAAAAGCUAAUUUAUAGCAAUAAAGAGAAGCAUAAUAGUCGUCUAUGAUUGCAGAGGUGAUAUUUUAUGAUGGGUGACAGAGGUUAGUGAAGUUUUAAGAUCGAUGACAUGAUUGAAAGAAGAUAGAAGGGAU
rnacentral:lncRNA from 1 species